UUUUUAUGGAAGGUUUUGCAGAGAGUCAUGUAAACAGUGUCCUUGGUGUGAUCCAGUUAAAGGAUGUGUAAAUGAAAGUAAAUACACGAAUAUAAAUGAGGGUGUGAACUGGUUGACUAUAGCAAUAUCGGUGACUGGGAGCUGUGGAGUCAGUUUUACAUUUUGCAUGUUUACAUAUUGUAAACAAAGAAUACGUACACCAAGAUGUAAAGAAUACCAGGGAAAAAAAGCUAAAUCAGCCACAAAGGUACAGAUAAGCAGCGCAGUUACUGAAUGCAUACGAGAUAGUGAACUAAUGGAGAACCGAAAUGAACAAAUUGCUGCUUGUCAUGAAUAUGUUCAUUGUGAGAAUUAUGGCCGAUAUAAUACCUUAAACUUGAAACCUGAGAAAGACAUUGAUAUUUUGUGAUUGCCUGUUCAGGAUAUCCAUGGAAAGACAGGGUUUUACAAUUACAUGCAUACUAGUGUAUCAAUGUACACUUUUCGUCAAUGAUUUUUAUCCUUAAUGUUCAUGAGAUGAAAUCUUUCAUCCGGCUUGAAAAGGUCAUAGUUUUUACACUGAUUUGUGUUCGGAUUACACUCUAUAUUUAAGGCUCACAGAGGGUAAAGCCGGUCGAAAUGAAACGGAAUGGAUAUUACUUUAUUGAAUUAUGAGGUCACUCACUGUUCUUUAUGAUAUCUUCACAUUUCAUUUCAAUUCUAUUAAUUCUUAUAUAUCUGUUCCCUCAAAUUAAUUGGCUUUCUGUAAAUGAUUGGUCGAUCUUCUUUUUUCUUAAAUAUACGUAAGUAUGAAAAUUCCAUUUAUUUUGGAACAAUUUAGAUUCCUCAACAGUAAUUCUUUCUUGUGUUUUUCUUUGAGUGGUUCAUUUCUCAUUUUAAGCAUAUGUAAAUAUAUAUAUCUUAA